ACGAGCGGCGGACGGGUGAGUAAUGCUUGGGAACAUGCCUUGAGGUGGGGGACAACAGUUGGAAACGACUGCUAAUACCGCAUAAUGUCUACGGACCAAAGGGGGCUUCGGCUCUCGCCUUUAGAUUGGCCCAAGUGGGAUUAGCUAGUUGGUGAGGUAAUGGCUCACCAAGGCGACGAUCCCUAGCUGGUUUGAGAGGAUGAUCAGCCACACUGGGACUGAGACACGGCCCAGACUCCUACGGGAGGCAGCAGUGGGGAAUAUUGCACAAUGGGCGCAAGCCUGAUGCAGCCAUGCCGCGUGUGUGAAGAAGGCCUUCGGGUUGUAAAGCACUUUCAGUCAGGAGGAAAGGUUAGUAGUUAAUACCUGCUAGCUGUGACGUUACUGACAGAAGAAGCACCGGCUAACUCCGUGCCAGCAGCCGCGGUAAUACGGAGGGUGCGAGCGUUAAUCGGAAUUACUGGGCGUAAAGCGUACGCAGGCGGUUUGUUAAGCGAGAUGUGAAAGCCCCGGGCUCAACCUGGGAACUGCAUUUCGAACUGGCAAACUAGAGUGUGAUAGAGGGU
rnacentral:rRNA from 1 species